AGAGUUUGAUCCUGGCUCAGAAUCAACGCUGGCGGCGCGCUUAACACAUGCAAGUCGCACGAGAAAGGGGAGCAAUCCCUGAGUACAGUGGCGUACGGGUGAGUAACACGUGGAUGAUCUACCUUCUAGUGGGGAAUAACCCUGGGAAACCGGGGCUAAUACCGCAUAAGCUCGAGAGAGGAAAGCAGCAAUGCGCUGGAAGAGGAGUCCGCGGCCGAUUAGCUAGUUGGCAGGGUAAAAGCCUACCAAGGCGUAGAUCGGUAGCCGGCCUGAGAGGGCACACGGCCACACUGGCACUGAAACACGGGCCAGACUCCUACGGGAGGCAGCAGUGGGGAAUCUUGCACAAUGGGGGAAACCCUGAUGCAGCGACGCCGCGUGAGCGAUGAAGCCCUUCGGGGUGUAAAGCUCUUUCGUCAGGGAAGAUGAUGACGGUACCUGGAGAAGCAGCUGCGGCUAACUACGUGCCAGCAGCCGCGGUAAUACGUAGGCAGCGAGCGUUGUUCGGAGUUACUGGGCGUAAAGGGUGUGUAGGCGGUUGUUUAAGUUUGGUGUGAAAUCUCCCGGCUCAACUGGGAGGGUGCGCCGAAUACUGAAUGACUUGGAGUGUGGGAGAGGUGAGUGGAAUUCCUGGUGUAGCGGUGAAAUGCGUAGAUAUCGGGAGGAACACCUGUGGCGAAAGCGGCGCACUGGACCAUAACUGACGCUGAGGCGCGAAAGCUAGGGGAGCAAACAGGAUUAGAUACCCUAGUAGUCC
rnacentral:rRNA from 1 species